rnacentral:tRNA from 1 species
GGAGGAGGCUCAGUGGUAGAGUGUCUACCUAGUAUGCAUGAGGCCCUGGGUUCAAUCCCUAGUACCUCCA